rnacentral:rRNA from 1 species
AUGGUCGCCAUCCCAGAUUUCGACAAGCCCUUCUCAAUCGAGACAGGCACUUGCGACACGGGAAUUGGCGUGGUGCUGGUACAAGAAGGCCACCCCAUCGCCUACUACAACAAGGCGCUAGGAGUGAAGAACCAGAAACUGUCAACUUAUGAGAAGGAAUUUUUGGCGGUAAUGAUGGCCGUGGACAAGUGGCACUCCUACCUGCAAAGCGGGCCAUUCACCAUCGUCACCGACCACAAGAGCCUGUGCACAUUGGGCGAUCAACAGCUGGUGACUGACGUCCAGCACCGCGCGAUGUCGAAGCUUGUAGGCCUGCAAUUCAAGUUCCAAUACAAGCGCGUCAUCGACAACGGCGCAGCGGACGCGCUCUCCCGCGUGGGCAGCAACUUCAGCGCCAACGCAUUGUCUCUAUGCUAG